GUAUUUAAAAACAGGAUUGCAGUUUAAAAAAACUCGUGAAUAUGUUGGGAUUUCUCGUAUUUUGUGCCGCAGCUUUUACAGUGACACCAGCUGUUGCUGAGAUUGGAAGUUGCUGUUGCCCAAACUCACUGAAAUACACCGUCAUAUCAGAACAUCUAACGUGGUUUCAAGCAUUUGAGGCCUGCGAACGACGUGGAUUAGAACUCGCAAGCAUUCACUCUCAAAGUGAGGAAGAUGCGAUUGAACUGGUGCUGGGAAAUAGCAACAAUAGAGUUGGAAAUGGAUUCUGGGUAUCUGCAACAUCCUUAGGAUCUUCAUUUGUAUGGUUCACUAGCGGUUCGGAGCUGAUCUACAAAAAUUUCGCUGGUGGUCAACCAGACAACCCAAAAACUGAAAAAUGUCUCGAAUUGUUUAGGCUAACGAACGGUACCUGGAAAUGGAAUUCUUUCCGCUGCGGUGUCGAGCUUUCGUAUAUUUGCCAGACCAAGCCAAAUUGCUGCUAUUUUAACUAAUUUGCUCAGAUCAGUUGUAUUAUUAUGUAGUCCUGAUUAGGGAAUACUUUUAAGCAUCGGAGUAAAAUAAAAAUUUUAAGUAUCAA